rnacentral:lncRNA from 1 species
AUGAUUAAUUUUGAUUAUGCUCAUCCUUUUCCUAGGAGAUGCUGGUGCUAAAAGACUCACUCAACAGAAUUCCUUCAUUGCCUGUGUACAGUGCAUCACCCAAUUCAGUACUGGUGGUACCAACAGUGAAUGUUCCACACCCUUCAGUUGGGACUGUUCGGUCAGGAUAUUUUCACUUGCAGACUCCAUCUCAGCCAGAGACUCUCCCUGCAGGCGUGAUGGAAUAGCAGCCGUGUUGGAGAAGCUUCCAUGGCCAGGAACUGUGGCCAGCUUUGAGGAUCCGAGGGCCACCUCCAGUUAUCAGCCAGCAGAACCUGGUGCCUCCUCAGUCUUACAGCCAAACAAAAACGAACCUGCCAACCAUCUGGACUGACAGUGCUUGGCAGGAGGGACUUCCCAGUCGAGCACCCUGAGGAGACACAGCCCGCCCAGCACCUUGACUGGACCUGGCAGUGGGGGAUCCAGCUACGUGAACCCCAGACUCCCAUCCACGGAAAUAGUGUGUUCAUAGCCGUGUGCUGUUGUCGUGGGCACAAGUCAUCUGGGUGGCACUCGAGGUAAGGACGUUGAGGCUUUAGGGGUGAGUUAAGCUCGAGUGGCCUCCACAAGGAGAGGAACAAUUCUAGGUGGGAAGAGCCCACCUAAGGCACUGCCCGCCUCCUUUUUAUCCUUAGCUUUCAAUGUGUUGACGCAGU